rnacentral:rRNA from 1 species
UACGUAGGGGGCUAGCGUUGUCCGGAUUUAUUGGGCGUAAAGAGCGUGUAGGCGGCCAGAUAGGUCUGCUGUGAAAACUCGAGGCUCAACCUCGAGAUGUCGGCGGAAACCAUUUGGCUAGAGUCCGGAAGAGGAAAGUGGAAUUCCUGGUGUAGCGGUGAAAUGCGCAGAUAUCAGGAGGAACACCUAUAGCGAAGGCAGCUUGCUGGGACGUUACUGACGCUAGGGCGCGAAAGCGUGGGGAGCGAACAGG